UGGAUCCUUCGACUGAGGGGUUUUGCCGAUGUCGUCUCCCUCUGUUCCUCUUCGAUUUUUCCAGUGAGUUCUCUUUAUUUUACCUCCAGCCAAGUCUUCCCCAUUUUUCCUCUUCUUUUCUUCUCUUUUCGGUGGUGCACACGCAUUCUGGACUAGAGGAAGAGAGUUAGACAUUUUUCUUGGUUCCAGUAGCUUCGAGCCUUUGAUCCCGCCAUCUUUGUCUUCCGCCCUCGUCCCUGUUACUCGUCCAGUCGCUGGCAACCUUGAGAACGCCGGAAUCCUCACUGUGGGUAGUGCACAGUGCUUCGUCCAGCUCUCCCCUGUUCCGUAUCAUUUUUCCUUCUUCAGCAUCUGUGUAAAUAUGUGAUGUUUGGAAGGAAGGAAGCUCAAAUAGAGUCAUAAGAAAUGAGUUUGGAGCCUUAAGAAUACUCCAGGGACUUUGUACAGAACACUGUCUGCUAACGGCAGUUUCGUUAGCUCUUGGCACGCCAUGGUACACCUAACUAGCAGGGUGUUUAUAGGAGGUGCUUGUCCCAUGCAAUGGGCAACGCACGUGGAAUGGAGGGAUGGUUAUUCGUGAGCAUUGUACUCACGUUUGUUUCGUGGCUUUGGCCGUGUUUGUUACUUAUCCUUGUGGAUUGUGUGUCCAUGUUUGUUUCGUGGCUUUGGCCGCGUUUAGUUACUUACCCUCGUGAAUUGUGUGUCCACGUUUGUUUUCGUGGUAUAAGCCGCGUUUGGUUAUUUACCUCAUGGACUGUGUGUCCACGUUUGUUAAUUAUUCUGAUA